ACAACGUGGGUAUGCGAGAGGAUUCAUUCGGCCAGUAGGCGCGGAGGACAGGCACCAGCUGCCCUCGCUGGAGGGUCCCGCGAGGGAGCAGUUAGGAAAGGACAAGAAGAGUGGUGGGCCCGGCCCCCUGCCCGCUCGCCAGCUCGGGACGUCGGCGGCCCGGGCCUGCCCGGCGCUCGCUUCCUCCUCCCGGGAGCCCUCCGAGCAUCUGCCGUGACCGCGCAGCGCGCCCAGGUGAGGAGCGCAGGCGAGGCCGCCCCCUCGGGAGCCGGGAGCCGGGAGCCCGGAGCCUGCGCUGGGGGAGGCUGUGGGCCGCUGGGGUGGUUACAGACGCGCCGCGCUGGGGGCAGGGCCAGGUGCCCGCGCGGACACGGGCUGCGGACACGGGCUGCUCGGUCCCAGGAAGCAGUGACGGGGCGGGGGGAGCGGGGACCCGGGGCGGGGGGCGGGCCCGGAGGUGUCGGGAAGCCCGGGAGGCCCCUGGGGGGGGACGGGGUGGCCACGGCUGGGGCCCGGGGGCGCGGCCGCCCUGCGCUUCGGGGCACCUGCUGGCGGUGCCGCCGCGGGUCCCGCGAGUGUCCACCGCCCGCGGGCCGCACUGAGGUCCCUGGGGUGUUGGCCUGGAUUGUAGGUGCCCCCGCAAGCGGCCCCGGCGGCCCUGCCCCCGCUGCGCCGCUGUCCUCGGGGGGCGCCCGGGGCGCGGGUGCAGGAGCCGCCGUCCUGCUGGCGGGGGCGGAGGCCAGAGGCUCGAGGCCCGGGAGCCGCGCACGUCAAGCAGCCGCCAGCCCGCGCCCCUCCAGCCCCCGUCCCUGCCCGGAUGCACGCGGACCGCCGCGCCUCGGGUCUGCACCCGGCUUCGGAGCGGGGAGGCGGGGCUGCGCGCUCUGCGGGGCGGGGGGGGCGGGGCGGGCUGCGGACGAGCCUGCCGCUCUGCCCCGCGCUCCCAGCUAACCCGCUGUGCUCCUUCGGGCCCACGGAGCUUCCUCCUAACGAGGAACAGAGGCCGUGACGCCGUCGGCCCGUGGCGGGGGGGCCGCUCCUUACGGAGGUCACGGGGGGCACACGGGGUGGCGGGGGCGGCUGUGGGUCGGUGCUGAGGCCGCUGCAUGUCCUCCGUCGGGCUCCGGAAGGAGGGUCCGGGCUGCACCCCCAGCUCCCACGUGUGGCUUCAGGGACGGGGAGCGGGCGGGAGGCGAGCUCCCUGCCACGUUCUUGGGGGCCAGUUCUCGUGCGGACGCGGAAAAACCUCCUCCCGUCCGUCCGCACCCCCGGCGCUGAGCGCGGCGCGGAUGUUCAUAGGGACCGUGGUGGUCAGGGCGGACGGGGACCCGCCCAGGCAGCCGGAGGCCAGCAAGGCGGGCGGCCGGGCGCCCGGGGCCUGGUGCUGCCGGGAUUGGCCGUCGGGCCGCGGGCU
rnacentral:lncRNA from 1 species